UGACAUUCUCUUAACGCCUCCCCCUUCAUCUUUCCCGCUCAAAACUUGUAAGUGAAGUUCAAUUCUGUAUUCAAUAACGUAAUCCCUAAUUUUUUGGGAUUCAUUCAGGAAAUAAUUCAUUGUAGUCGAUGUAUUAGGCAAGAAUUGAGCAAGUUAAUAUCUUCCGACUUCCAUAUCUUCUCCAUAUUUUUCUCUCAAAAAAUUUGGGGCAAACCUUUAAAAUAUCUUCAAUGAAGAUUGAGGAAGAAUAAUAGAGCAUAGGGUAAAUGAAUUCCUAAUGAUCCUUCUUUCUUAUGGGAAGGGAAGGCGACGGAGAAGAUAAUUUUGGUUAACACAUCUUGCCACUUCCCUCUUUCCACCUUUCGGCCUCCAACCCUGUUUCUCUUUGGAUUUCAUGAUCGAUGUAUUUAAGGUUACAUACAAAAAGACGAUUUUCAAGUUUUAUUUAGGAUUAUAGAAGAAGCACCCUAAGUGUUUGACGAAAUGUCUCAAAGAAAGCUUGACCUAAGUUCACUACUAUCACCUCUCAUCUGGUAAAGUCUCCCUCUUCCUCACUAAAAAAGAAAUCAAUACAUAAGGAAUUCAUGAUGAUGGAGGCGAAGUGUUAUGCAUCCAUUUCUGCCACAUACUUUGUCUAGGGGUAAUUUGGGAAACUUAGCAAAACAAGGGGGAUUCUUUGGUAGUAGAAGCACAACAUCGGUAUUUUUGCUUUAAUAUUUUAAUUUGAAAGUAUGAUACUAUAAUUUAGUAUCCUUUUCAUUUUUUAUUCUUAUUUUUUAAGUUUAUUUUUUAAUUUUAACAUUACAUGUAAUUAUUUAAGUUAUAAAGAACA